rnacentral:rRNA from 1 species
UACGGGGGGGGUAAGCGUUGUUCGGAAUUACUGGGCGUAAAGGGCGCGUAGGCGGCCCGCUAAGUCGAACGUGAAAUCCCCAGGCUCAACCUGGGAACUGCGUCCGAUACUGGCAGGCUUGAAUCCGGGAGAGGGAUGUGGAAUUCCAGGUGUAGCGGUGAAAUGCGUAGAUAUCUGGAGGAACACCGGUGGCGAAGGCGGCAUCCUGGACCGGUAUUGACGCUGAGGCGCGAAAGCUAGGGGAGCAAACGGG